rnacentral:rRNA from 1 species
AGUUAGGAAAUGUAGGCUUGCUAAUAUCGGGUCUAUUCGACGAAGGCUCCAAAGGAAGCCACGGCUAACUCUGUGCCAGCAGCCGCGGUAAUACAGAGGUGGCAAGCGUUGUUCGGAAUUAUUGGGCGUAAAGAGCACGUAGGUGGGUUUGUAAGUCAGAUGUGAAAGCCUUCUGUUCAACGGGAGAAUUGCAUCUGAAACUACAGACCUUGAGUAUAGGAGGGGAGAGUGGAAC